AGGACGAACGCUGGCGGCGUGCCUAACACAUGCAAGUCGAACGCGCUCCAUUCGGUAGCAAUACUGAUGAAGAGCGAGUGGCGAACGGGUGAGUAGCACGUGAGCAACCUGCCCCGAAGACCGGGACAACACCGGGAAACCGGUGCUAAUACCGGAUAUCCCUAUCGGACCGCAUGAUCUGAUAAGGAAAUGGAUUCCGCUUCGGGAGGGGCUCGCGGCCUAUCAGCUAGUUGGUGAGGUAACGGCCCACCAAGGCAUCGACGGGUAGCUGGUCUGAGAGGACGAUCAGCCACACUGGGACUGAGACACGGCCCAGACUCCUACGGGAGGCAGCAGUGGGGAAUCUUGCGCAAUGGGCGAAAGCCUGACGCAGCAACGCCGCGUGGAAGACGAAGGCUUUCUGAGUUGUAAACUCCUUUCAGCAGGGACGAUAGUGACGGUACCUGCAGAAGAAGCACCGGCCAACUACGUGCCAGCAGCCGCGGUAA
rnacentral:rRNA from 1 species